CGGGCGUCUAUUUGUGGGCACUGAGCGUGGAGGGUGAGUCUUGGAUAUAGAAAUGUUCACUUGAAGUGGUGCUGUGUAAUGCUGUGUAUUGCAGUGAGAUUGCUGUUGUCUUGUCUGACGUACCCCCGCCUCUAGUCACUCGUUCCUGAGACGACGAAGAGGAAGAACGGUCCUAGAGUAAGACCUGUACAUGAAUAUGCUGUGAGUGUGUUUCAGUUUUAAAAAUCACGGAGCGGCAUCUCGAAGUAUUUUCCCAGCCAAACGCUUGGCGGACUUGAGUUUAGGAGUGGCGGUGAAGAACUGUGCUAUCGACGGCGUGUGAGUAUUACCUAUAAUAUUGCUACCUUACCUGUGUCUUUUCAUCAUCACAGAGCUUGAGGCGAAGGAGAUCCGUCGGCCCGAGGUCUCGACGAAAGGGCGCCCCGGUCCAGUUUUCGAUUGACCAACGGGUCUCGAGGAAAGGGCAGCGCUCGACCCGGUGUGCCGGCGUGACGUUCUCGCCCCUCUGUAGACCAACGAGCUCGCCGAGAGGGUUUUGGCCCCCGGCGACACAGAGGAAACCACUGUCCAGUUGACGCAACGUGUAGGCCGCUAUCUCAUCUGUGGAGAGAAAGAGCCAGCGUGAACGCUGAGAUAUCGAAUUGUGAAGAGAGCCAUACCUACCCAAAGCUGUAGUCAGCGCAGAGGUGAGAGAACCAUUGGAAACCGAUUCAUUGUGCCUUUGUGUCCCAGCAGUCAUCUGUGGAGAGAAAGAGCCAGCGUGAACGCUGAGAUAUCGAACUGUGAAGAGAGCCAUAUCUACCCAAAGCUGUAGUCAGCGCAGAGGUGAGAGAACCAUUGGAAACCGAUUCAUUGUGCCUUUGUGUCCCAGCAGUCAUCUGUGGAGAGAGAAAAGGAGAGCCAACGUGAACAUGGAGAUAUUGAGCUGUGGAGGAGAGCCUGGAGUGGCUGUUAUUUUAAGUUCCCCUUUCCCCUUCCCUAUUUAAUAUUUUUAAGUAAUUUAAUAAAGUAUAUUUUAAUUUUA